ACCAGUUUGUAUUGAGACCGAGACAAGACCGAGACUUUGACGGUUUGAGACCAAGUCAAGACCACGGCAGGGUGAGACCGAAUCAAGACCAAGACCAGAUUUGUGUUAGACAGCCAGAGCUUUUUCUCCUGUCUCCCGCACUCACUUUAUGGGAGUGUGUGUAAAGGCUGCGGAGAUAAA